rnacentral:piRNA from 1 species
GUAAACAGCAAAUAUCUCAUCCGGA